rnacentral:rRNA from 1 species
CCUACGGGAGGCAGCAGUGAGGAAUAUUGGGCAAUGGGCGCAAGCCUGACCCAGCAACGCCGCGUGAAGGAAGAAGGCUUUCGGGUUGUAAACUUCUUUUAAGAGGGAAGAGCAGAAGACGGUACCUCUUGAAUAAGCCACGGCUAACUACGUGCCAGCAGCCUCGGUAAUACGUAGGUGGCAAGCGUUAUCCGGAUUUAUGGGGUGUAAAGGGGGUGUAGGGGGGAAAGCAAGUCAGCUGUGAAAACCCAGGGCUCAACCCUGAGCCGGCAUUUGAAACUGUUUUUCUUGAGUGCUGGAGAGGCAAUCGGAAUUCCGGGUGUAGCGGUGAAAUGCGUAGAUAUACGGAGGAACACCAGUGGCGAAGGCGGAUUGCUGGACAGUAACUGACGCUGAGGCGCGAAAGCGUGGGGAGCAAACAGGAUUAGAUACCCGUGUAGUC